GGAGAGACAGGGCAGCCCAGGGGAAGGGCUGGCGUGUCCUAACCUCUCCUUUUAGGUUCCAGGGCCCUCCCUCAAAGUGCAGACUGCAUGAGAAACAGAUCCCCAGCUCAAGAACCAAAAGAGACACACCCAGCCUGGUGACGUCCCCACCAGCCGGUGACCCGUGGCCCCCAGCUCUUACUGUGAGGUUCCCAUGUACACGGCCCUGUGGAGGAUCCGAGUGCCUGCCGACCAUGGCCCAGGGCUUAUAAGAAGAAGAAACUUCCUCCGAGCUUCCCAAAGACCACCACCACUGCUCACACUUUGGAAAUCCUUCUGUCAAUUCAUUUUCGGUUUUUAUUUGGUUUUCACAUUGUUGUAAUCAUCCCGUGUUUACAAUUUUGUAUCCCACCGCAUUUAUCAUCCUAGCGUGUAUAUGUUUCUGCAUGUUAAAUUUAUCCUUGUUAUUGCAAAGGUUCAUAUUUUUGUAUAUAUUUAAACACAAAGGCUCACUUCAUGGGUUUUCCCUUUCUUAGCAGCAAACUUUGAAAAUGUCCCUUUUCUCUUCUAUCUCUCCCUCCCUCUCCCUGUCCUCCCUCCUAUCCUUUCUUUUCUUCCUUUCUUUCUCUCGAAAUUUCUAGUUCCUGUUCACUGCUUCCCUUCAUUUCACAUCUUCUCCAGACAUGACUGGACAUCUCUAAGACAUACACCAGAGGAUUCCUCUAAGGUCUAAACUCGCUAAAGUUUUGCGGUACCUGAUUGGCAGAGGGGAAAUUUCUGAUGAAGGCAGUUCUCACCCAGAGGGGCUGCGGCUGGGAGGCUCAUUACUCCAGGCCAGGGACAGUUGUCAAGAUGAAAAGGACAGGAAGACGAGUCUGGGCCAAGGCAUGUAAAGGUGUUUCCUGGACUUUUCAAGACCCCAGAGUGUCAGAGAAAGGGAAAUGUAACAUACUCUACUUGGAGAGGAAAUAAAUAUGUGGUCUGUCAACUAA